rnacentral:rRNA from 1 species
UACGUAGGGGGCAAGCGUUGUCCGGAAUCAUUGGGCGUAAAGAGCGUGUGAGCGGCCCGGUAAGUCCGCUGUGAAAGUCCAGGGCUCAACCCUGGGAUGCCGGUGGAUACUGUCGGGCUCGAGUCCGGAAGAGGAGUGUGGAAUUCCCGGUGUAGCGGUGAAAUGCGCAGAUAUCGGGAGGAACACCAGUAGCGAAGGCGGCUCUCUGGGCCGGUACCGACGUGAGGAGCGAAAGCUAGGGGAGCGAACAGG